CAGCCGCCGCGGUAAUACGUAGGGUGCGAGCGUUCCUCGGAUUUACUGGGCGUAAAGCGUGCGCAGGCGGCCCGUUAAGACAGGUGUGAAAUCCCUGGGCUCAACCUAGGAAUUGCGCUUGUGACUGGCGGGCUCGAGUACGGUAGAGGGGGGUGGAAUUCCUGGUGUAGCAGUGAAAUGCGUAGAGAUCAGGAGGAACACCGAUGGCGAAGGCAGCCCCCUGGGCCUGUACUGACGCUCAUGCACGAAAGCGUGGGGAGCAAACAGGAUUAGAUACCCGGGUAGUCGACGCCCUAAACGAUGGGUACUAGCCGUUUGGUGCGCGAUAGCGCUGAGUGGCGAAGCUAACGCGUGAAGUACCCCGCCUGGGGAGUACGGCCGCAAGGUUGAAACUUAAAGGAAUUGGCGGG
rnacentral:rRNA from 1 species